rnacentral:rRNA from 1 species
AGUGAACGCUGGCGGCAGGCCUAACACAUGCAAGUCGAACGGCAGCACAGUAAGAGCUUGCUCUUACGGGUGGCGAGUGGCGGACGGGUGAGGAAUACAUCGGAAUCUACUUUUUCGUGGGGGAUAACGUAGGGAAACUUACGCUAAUACCGCAUACGACCUACGGGUGAAAGCAGGGGAUCUUCGCACCUUGCGCGAUUGAAUGAGCCGAUGUCGGAUUAGCUAGUUGGCGGGGUAAAGGCCCACCAAGGCGACGAUCCGUAGCUGGUCUGAGAGGAUGAUCAGCCACACUGGAACUGAGACACGGUCCAGACUCCUACGGGAGGCAGCAGUGGGGAAUAUUGGGCAAUGGGCGCAAGCCUGAUCCAGCCAUACCGCGUGAGUGAAGAAGGCCUUCGGGUUGUAAAGCCCUUUUGUUGGGAAAGAAAAGCAGCAGGUUAAUACCCCGCUGUUCUGACGGUACCCAAAGAAUAAGCACCGGCUAACUUCGUG